rnacentral:tRNA from 2 species
GCGGGGUGGAGCAGCUUGGUAGCUCGUCGGGCUCAUAACCCGAAGGUCGUCGGUUCAAAU